GGAAAAGUCCAAAGGAGGACACAGGACGUGACUGGAGGGAGGGGUUCAAGUCCCCUCAUCUCCACCA
rnacentral:tRNA from 1 species